rnacentral:rRNA from 1 species
GGCUUAGAGUUUGAUCAUGGCUCAGGAUAAACGCUGGCGGCGCACAUAAGACAUGCAAGUCGAACGAACUUAACCUUAAUGUUUACAUUUAGGAGCGGUUAGUGGCGGACUGGUGAGUAACACGUAAGUAAUCUGCCUAUCAGAGGGGAAUAACAAUGAGAAAUCAUUGCUAAUACCGCAUAUGCUGUAAGGUUCGCAUGAACCAAGCAGGAAAGGAGCAAUCCGCUGAUAGAUGAGCUUGCGUCUGAUUAGCUAGUUGGUGUGGUAACGGCAUACCAAGGCAACGAUCAGUAGCCGAGCUGAGAGGCUCAACGGCCACAUUGGGACUGAGAUACGGCCCAGGCUCCUACGGGAGGCAGCAGUCGGGAAUAUUGCACAAUGGAGGAAACUCUGAUGCAGUGACGCCGUGUGCAGGAAGAAGGUUUUCGGAUUGUAAACUGCUUUAGACAGGGAAGAAGAAGUGACAGUACCUGUAGAAUAAGCUCCGGCUAACUACGUGCCAGCAGCCGCGGUAAUACGUAGGGAGCAAGCGUUAUCCGGAUUUAUUGGGUGUAAAGGGUGCGUAGAUGGAUAAGCAAGUUGGCUGUGAAAUCCCUCGGCUUAACUGAGGAACUGCAACCAAAACUGUUAAUCUUGAGUACUGGAGGGGAAAGUG